UUCAGUAGGUGAACCUGCGGAAGGAUCAUUCGCACGAAUCAUCGUCCACCCAAUCCCAGCAAGUGCCGUUGGUUGCUCCAGCUGCACUCUUCCCGCCGCCUCGUGCGGCCCCCGUCUCGAUCCUUUUUCAGCCGCGCUCGCCGCGGUGGAUUGUGGAGUCUGACUCUGCUUUUAUCUUGUCUCUUGCAGCGGUGGAUGCCUUGGCUCGAGUAUCUAUGAAGGAUGCAGCGAACUGCGAUACGCACAGUGAUGUGCGGAAUUCCGUGAAUCUGUAGACCUCUGAACGCAUCUAGCACCACGGGUUCUCCCGAGGUUCGUCUGGUUCGGUGUCUCUCUUCUUUAGUCACACCCGCCCCGCGCUGGUGUGUGCGAUCGCCUGCCACUGCUCCGCGAAGGGCGGUGGCGGGCCUCAGACCUCAACCAAGCUCUGGCGAGCGUCGCGUCAUGCGGUGUAAAUUGCUACGUCCGCGUCCUGCGACCCUCGCCCGCCCGCUUGGCCCGGUAUCCUGGCGCCCCCCGGGGAGCCAGGACCCCCCACACAGACCCGAGCUCAGAUUGGAUUACCCGCUGAAUUUAAGCAUAUCAA
rnacentral:rRNA from 1 species